rnacentral:rRNA from 1 species
UAGGGAAUCUUCGGCAAUGGACGGAAGUCUGACCGAGCAACGCCGCGUGAGUGAAGAAGGUUUUCGGAUCGUAAAGCUCUGUUGUUAGAGAAGAACGUUGGGUAGGAGUGGAGAAUCUACCAAGUGACGGUAACUAACCAGAAAGGGACGGCUAACUACGUGCCAGCAGCCGCGGUAAUACGUAGGUCCCGAGCGUUGUCCGGAUUUAUUGGGCGUAAAGCGAGCGCAGGCGGUUCUUUAAGUCUGAAGUUAAAGGCAGUGGCUUAACCAUUGUACGCUUUGGAAACUGGAGGACUUGAGUGCAGAAGGGGAGAGUGGAAUUCCAUGUGUAGCGGUGAAAUGCGUAGAUAUAUGGAGGAACACCGGUGGCGAAAGCGGCUCUCUGGUCUGUAACUGACGCUGAGGCUCGAAAGCGUGGGGAGCAAACAGG